rnacentral:rRNA from 1 species
UACGAGCCACACAAACGUUAUUCGGAAUUACUGGGCUUAAAGGGUGCGUAGGCGGUGCGGAAAGUAGGGUGUGAAAUCUCGGAGCUUAACUCCGAAACUGCAUUCGAUACUGCCGUGCUUGAGGACUGGAGAGGAGACUGGAAUUUACGGUGUAGCGGUGAAAUGCGUAGAUAUCGUAAGGAAGACCAGUGGCGAAGGCGGGUCUCUGGACAGUUCCUGACGCUGAGGCACGAAGGUCAGGGGAGCAAACGGG